rnacentral:sRNA from 1 species
GGCUGGUCUGAGUGCAGUGGUGUUUACAGUACUUUACUAGUGUCCUUCUGGUGUGAUGGACCAGUCUUUC